rnacentral:rRNA from 1 species
GGUGCUAACGUCCGUCGUGAAGAGGGAAACAACCCAGACCGCCAGCUAAGGUCCCAAAGUCAUAGUUAAGUGGGAAACGAUGUGGAAAGGCCCAGACAGCCAGGAGGUUGGCUUAGAAGCAGCCAUCCUUUAAAGAAAGCGUAAUAGCUCACUGGUCAAGUCGGUUUGCGCGGAAGAUUUAUCGGGGCUUAAGUAUCAUACCGAAGCUACGGAUGCGUGUUUACACGCAUGGUAGAGGAGCGUUCUGUACGCCUGUGAAGGUGAAUCGAGAGGUUUGCUGGAGGUAUCAGAAGUGCGAAUGCUGACAUGAGUAACGAUAAUGGGGGUGAAAAACCCCCACGCCGAAAACCCAAGGUUUCCUGCGCAAUGCUAAUCAGCGCAGGGUUAGUCGGAACCUAAGGCGAGGCCGAAAGGCGUAGUCGAUGGACAACAGGUUAAUAUUCCUGUACCGCGUAUAACUGCGAUGGGGAGACGGAGAAGGCUAGAUCAGCAUACUGUUGGAUAUGUAUGUUUAAGCAUGUAGGGCGAGUUCUUAGGUAAAUCCGGGAACUCAUUAAACCUGAGAUGUGAUGUCGAGGACUCUACGGAGUCCGGAGUGAUUGAUGCCAUGCUUCCAAGAAAAUCCUCUAAGCUUCAGGUUAUAGGCGUCCGUACCCCAAACCGACACAGGUGGGUGGGAUGAGAAUUCUAAGGCGCUUGAGAGAACUCUGGUGAAGGAACUAGGCAAAAUGGAACCGUAACUUCGGGAGAAGGUUCGCCCUCUAGGUAAUUGGACUUGCUCCAUAAGCUAAAGAGGGUUGCAAUAAAAUGGUGGCUGCGACUGUUUACUAAAAACAUAGCACUCUGCAAACUCGUAAGAGGAAGUAUAGGGUGUGACGCCUGCCCGGUGCCGGAAGGUUAAUUGAUGGGGUUAUCUUCGGAGAAGCUCUUGAUCGAAGCCCCGGUAAACGGCGGCCGUAACUAUAACGGUCCUAAGGUAGCGAAAUUCCUUGUCGGGUAAGUUCCGACCUGCACGAAUGGCGUAACGACUUCCCCGCUGUCUCCAACAUAGACUCAGCGAAAUUGAAUUACCUGUCAAGAUGCAGGUUUCCCGCGGUUAGACGGAAAGACCCCGUGCACCUUUACUACAGCUUCACACUGGCAUUAGGCCGAACAUGUGCAGGAUAGGUGGUGGGCUUUGAAACCGAGACGCCAGUCUCGGUGGAGCCUCCCUUGAGAUACCACCCUUGUUCUGCUUGAUGUCUAACCGCGGACCGUUAUCCGGUUCCGGGACCCUGUGUGGCGGGUAGUUUGACUGGGGCGGUCGCCUCCUAAAUCGUAACGGAGGCGCGCGAAGGUUGGCUCAGAGCGGUCGGAAAUCGCUCGUUGAGUGCAAUGGCAGAAGCCAGCCUGACUGCGAGACUGACAAGUCGAGCAGAGUCGAAAGACGGCCAUAGUGAUCCGGUGGUCCCAAGUGGGAGGGCCAUCGCUCAACGGAUAAAAGGUACGCCGGGGAUAACAGGCUGAUACUGCCCAAGAGUCCAUAUCGACGGCAGUGUUUGGCACCUCGAUGUCGGCUCAUCUCAUCCUGGGGCUGGAGCAGGUCCCAAGGGUACGGCUGUUCGCCGUUUAAAGACUGUCUCUUAUACACAUCUGACGCUGCCGACGAAUAGAG